rnacentral:misc_RNA from 1 species
AAGGAGCACUUCUACACAGACCGUUCGAAGAGUCGAAUGUGACUGUGUCAGAGACCGUUUCGGACUCACACGUAGUCCGGCGGACGCUCAUGGGUGGAACACUGACUACUUUCAUCGCACCAUGGUUUCAGCCAAGUCUGGAAUCGCGGUGAAUAUACCGACACACUAUUGGGUCCUGAAAGAACAGACGUUCUUUCCAGGCAAAAAACGAUCUACUCGGAUGUCGAGUGAAACCGGUGGCUGUGCCGCUAGGUCCUCCGAGGAAUUCUGAGUGGGUGUGUUGUUUGAGAACUGCACAGUGGACGCGAGCAUCUUUGUUA